ensembl:lncRNA
ACGGGUGUUUAUCGCCUCGCCCUGUCCUCAUCCUCCUUUCAUCCAGCUGGGAGUUAGGUGCCUUCAGGGAGCAUGCCAACUCUUCCCUACAGUGUAAUGAGGACUGCCCUGACAGUUUUAAAGCAACUGUUUGGCUAAAACUGCUAACAUCUGGGGUUCAGAGAACACAGCUUCUUUGGCUUUACAUUAAACUCUGUCCUCUUGCUUAGCCAUUAUUAUAAUAAAGGGGAAUUUAAGUCACUUGAUGCAAACUACACCUCAGGGAGGGGACAUAACCACGGUCCAGACAGCAACCUUCCACUGACUUCUGAGCCCAAGGCUCAGAGAGGGCUCAGCUGUGAGUUGUCAGCAGACAACACUUCUGACCGGAAAUAAGAGACUCAGUUCUGAAAGGGCAUCAGUCUGGGCAAGAACCCUAUAGUAGCCAAGACGGUCCACCUCGAGCACUGGCAACCUGCUCCAGUAUUCUUGCCUGGAGAAUCCCAUGGACAGAGGAGACUGGUGGGCUACAGUCCAUCGGGUUGCAAAGAGUCAGACAUGACUGAGCAUCUGAGCCAAUGGAUAUUUUAUUGGUUUCCUUUUGUUGCUGUCACAGACUUACUGGGUUAAAAAAGACCAAAUUUAUCUUACAUUUUCAGAGGUCAGAAGCCAUAAAAACCAAGGUGUCAGCAGGGCUAUACUCCUCCCGGAGUCUCCAGGGAAGGAUUAGUUUCCUCUGUUUUUCCAGCCUCCAGAGGUCAUAUAUAUUUCCUGGCUCACAGUCCUCCUUCCACCACCAAAGCCAGCAGCAGAGCAUCUUCAGAUUUCUUUUCUCUUUUCUGCUUCUGCCAUCAUCUCUCCUCUGACCCUGCUUCCACAGACACAGUGCCUUCUCUCACUCUGAGCCUCUUGCCUCCCCCUUGUAAGCACCCUUUUGAUUCUAUUGGUUCCACCUGGAUAAUCCAGAGAGCUCUUCUCAUCUGAGGAUCUUUAAUUCAAUCACAUCUGCAACACCCCUUUUGCCUGCUGUGCAUGUGUGCGUGCUAAAUCGCUUCAGUCAGAGUCAGACUCUUUGUGACCCCAUGGACUGCAGCCAGCCAAGCUCCUCCGUCCAUGGGGUUUUCCUGGCAAGAGUACUGGAGUGGGUUGCCACGCCCUCCUCCAGGAGAUCUUCCUGACCCAGGGAUCAAACCCGCAUCUCCUGUGUCUCCUGCAUUGGCAGGCAGGUUCUUUACCACUACCGUCAUGUGGGAUGCCUUUUGCCAGGCUUAACCUAAUUUGAAGCUAGCUGAAACAGAGCCUGGAAAAUGAAGUUUGCAGGAAUAAGCUCAAGAGCAAACAAGAAAAUUACUGGUACCUCAUUCCACCUGCCCAGUGAUAUGGAUGUUAGGACUACCUGCAAGGAAGCCACAUCUUUUCUUGGGAAGCUGUGUUGUCUUUGCUCCACCACAUAAAUAAAUAAUCUAGUUCUCAACAUUCGAUAUUAUACAGAUAUGAUUAU